rnacentral:rRNA from 1 species
UACGUAGGGUCCGAGCGUUGUCCGGAAUUAUUGGGCGUAAAGAGCUCGUAGGCGGUUUGUCGCGUCUGCUGUGAAAUCCCGAGGCUCAACCUCGGGUCUGCAGUGGGUACGGGCAGACUGGAGUGCGGUAGGGGAGAAUGGAAUUCCUGGUGUAGCGGUGAAAUGCGCAGAUAUCAGGAGGAACACCGGUGGCGAAGGCGGGUCUCUGGGCCGAUACUGACGCUGAGGAGCGAAAGCAUGGGUAGCGAACAGG